UGAUCUUGUUUGUUUUUUUUUUUUUUUUGAAUUAGGUUUGAUUUACUCGAGUUUCUCGAAUUUUGCUUUUUUUUUUCUCUCUCUAAAUUUCGAGUAGUUUGGGAUUUCCGUUCUAUGUUUAAUUUGCGUUUAAUUUACUUGAGUUUCUUCUGUUGUUGAUGUUGAAGUUCUAUGUUUAAGCCAGGCUUUUUGAUUUUAAUAUUUUUACUUCUUGAAGUCUUUAUCGAAUUUUUUUUUUCGAUUUCAUGGUUGGGGUUCGUGGGUUCGGGUCUUGGUUUUCUUUUGAAGGUGUGUUUGAUCUGCGAAAAAAUUGAAUUUUGCAGAAUUCUUGAUGAAAUCUAGGGGGUGGGGGUGGGAGAGGGUUCUAUGUUUAAAUUACACUCGCCCUCUUCCUCUCCAUGUUAAGGGCUUCACAUAAGCCUGACGCUCUCACGUGCUCUUUCGUCCUCAAGGCAUGCGCACGUGCCUUGGCGAAGUUUGAGUGUCUUUUGAUGCAUUCGAUGGUUAUUCGAUCUGGGUUUAUGGUGGAUAUGCUUUUCCAGACUACAUUGAUGGAUGUUUAUUGUAAAGUUGGCGAGUUUAGGGGUGCUAAGAAGGUGUUCGAUGAAAUGCUUAAGAGAGAUAUUGUUUCUUGGAAUGCUUUGAUUUGUGGGUUGGCUCAAGGGAGCUUUCAUAAUGAGGCUUUGAAGUUGUUCCAAGAAAUGUUAGGAACAGGGUUGAAGGCGGAUGAGAUCACCGUGCUCGGUACUCUGUCUGCUUGCUCUCAAAUGGGGGCUUUGAAGGAAGGUGAUAAUGUUUGGUGUUUUAUCAAGGAGGAGAAAUUGGAUAUGAAGGUUGCAGUGUGUAAUGCAGGGAUUGAUAUGUAUAGAAAAUGUGGGUUUGUGGAUAGAGCGUACGUGGUUUUUAGGACUAUGAGGUGCAAGAAGAAUGUUAUUACGUGGAACACGAUUGUUAUGGGAUUCGCAAUGCAUGGGCAUGGGAUGGAAGCGAUUGCGCUUCUUAAAGAGAUGGAGUGUGUUGGGGUUUUCCCUGAUAUAUUAACCUAUCUGGGGGUGUUAUGUGCUUGCAACCAUGCAGGUUUGGUUGACGAAGGGUUUGGAUUGUUUAACUUGAUGGAGGAGAAAGGGAUUGUUCGUAAUGUGAAGCAUUAUGGUGCUGUGGUUGAUUUGUUGGGAAGGGCAGGGAGGCUUAAUGAAGCUUAUGAGGCUACAAAGUGCAUAUUAGAUUAGUUAUCUUUAUCAUGUGAAACUGAGAAAUUUAGGACUCUUGUGAGUUUACGAAACACAGGUCUUUAUGUAAAUCUUGUCAGAUUUGUGGCUGGAAAGUGCUAUCUGGUUCAUUUCUGCAAAUUCUGGUUCAUACUCUCUCCUUCUCUUCAUUUCUAACCUGAUCAUCAAAUUAUAUCUCAUGUUAUCUUCAUUUUCUACGUUUUUUCGGGGAUUUCGUUUCCUCUUUAUCGUUUUCAAGAGUUUCAUUUCAAUUAUUUUCCCCUUUUUGUCUUAAAUUCUACUUUAGUUGGUUGUUUGGUUCGAAUGUUUUCAUCGUAUUUUAAUCAAGCUGGAUUUGGUUAAAGGAUUUCUAUUCCCUUUUUGUGUGCUUCUCCCUUUUUGCAGGAACUGGUAUAUUUUCAAGGCCACACAUUGAUUAUUCCUCGAAUUUCAUUGGGUGAUCUCAGAAAUAAAUAUGAUGUUUGAGAAGUUUUCCCUGUGAUCAAAUUGAGGAGAAGCGGGCAUGUAAACUAUAUUUGUGGUCACAAAAGGAGGAAAUAUAACCUAUCCAUCUUAUGUUGGAAAAGGUUUGAAGGUUUUGUAAAUUAGAUUUAGCUUACAUGAUAUCUGAUUGAGCAAAUUUUCCCUGGAAAAAUUGACAUGUUUAUGAUGCUCGUGUGAUGAACAUAUUCCAGAUUUCAAGUUGUUUAAUGUUAUAAACAAGGCCCAAAUAUCUCCAGGUAUGUUGAUUUUUGAGUUGGGGCAUAUCUAUUUUGGCUGUUUGGUUGUUAAAUCUUAAUGGGUUGCACAUUUGCACUAAAAGAGGGACGUCGAUGGGGAGAAUUAACUCAAAAAAUAGUAUGACGAGUGUAUCAAGGAUUGUGAUCAAGCUGUUGAAAGAGGUAGGGAGCUUAGAUCAGACUACAAAAUGGUUUCCAGGGCCCUGACCAGGAAAGGAACUGCUUUGGCAAAAUUGGCAAAGACUUCAAAGGAUUAUGAACCAGCUAUUGAAGCGUUCCACAAAGCUUUGACAGAGCACCACAAUCCCGAUAAUUUUUUAGGGUUAUUACUUCCUCUUUUUGUUUUCAUUCUUCUUCCAUAACCCCUUUCUCUUUGUCAAGAGUCAGCUUACUAUGAUUUGAUCAUGGAAUCGAUUGCAAUAUUCAAUUUUAAAAGGUUCAAUUGUUUGAUUUCUGUUGUGAUCUCUAGAGUUUCGUGACGAAUUUGAUCUGAAAAUCGCACAUCUUGUGAUCGAAUCAGGCUACAAAUUUGAGUUUCCUCUUGGUAUGUUUAUUUGUAUCUGAAUUCCAGUUCACAUUUCAAUUUUGUGUGGCUCUUUUCUUUCGAAUGAACUUGAUUAGAAGUUCGCAAACCAAACCCACCUUCGCUCCAAUCUCUCUCUGUUCAGGUAUUCUUCUUUCAUUUAUAGGUUGGAUAAUUGUGCUGAGCUGCUUUUGUUUAUCUCAUUGAUAUUUUGGACUUGGAUCACGAAACAAUAGCUUACAGUUUUGCUGCCAUUUUUGAUAAAAACAAGCUUUAGAGUUGUGUUAUUUAUGAAAUUAUUGUUGGUUUUUUCUGCUUUGGUGAUUUCGGGUCUUUUCUCAAAGCAUGGAAUUAAACUUGUGUGUGUUGGGGCUCUUCUGCUUGCAAGAUUAGUGAAAACUGAAAAGGUGCAUGUUUGUAUUACACAUAUUUGAUACGUGAAGGAGUAUGGUUAAGUUUAUAAGUAUAUCGUGGUUGUUUAGCUGGUGCAGUCAUGAGUCCCACCUUUUCUUUUCUCCCCAAGAAUUCAGGAUUUUAACUAACUGGUUUUUAGGUCUUCAUGCUGCCUCACGUGCUUUACUCACGAUAUUAUAUGAUAGAAUGGAGGAAUUUGUUUCCAUCCAUGCUGAAAAAAUAGUGAUCGAGUUUACUAAUCUGAUAAGCUUUUGUUUCCAAGCUCUGUUCUCCCCACCUCAAUUUCAUAUGCCUCAGAAAAAAUAAAUUCAAGGUAACAACUUCCGAUAAGGUAAAUACUGAAAUUAGAUAAGUUGAGUUUAGGACAAAAUAAACACAUAUAAUUUAAGUUCAGCAUAAUAAGUCCAUAUAAAUUAAGAUAGAAAAGGCACUCGAAUGUUUAUAACAUUGAAAAAUGGCCUAGGUUUGUAGAAGAAGUGCACUCCAACUCUUACAAAAUGGUGAUCAGUUUCUAAAUAUGUUUUCUUAAAUUCAUGACAUGUUCAAGGUUCCCAUAGCAUACAUUAUUGUUGCUGCCAUUAUCCCAACUGCCAUAAAUUAAUCACCUUGUUAAGUUUGAUUAUCUAAUAUGCAGCACGAAAAUUCAACUUGCGAUGCUGCCCUAUGCUACAUGUCAUGUAUUGGAGUUAAUUGAAGAUAAAUGAGCAUGUCUAUGAGUUACUAUGAGAUAGAUAUCAAUUGUGCUUACCCUGUGUACAUUUCACUUUUAAUGUUCCCAUUCAUGUAGGAUUCGUGAGUCUCAUCCUAUUAAUCCAUUUUAUCGUAUUAGGAUCCUCUCUGUCUCCUGUCUUAAAGUGAUGCUACAUAAGUUAGUAAAUUGAAAUAGUCCCCCCCCCCCCCCCACCCACAUUUCCUUUCUUCAUGCAUUCCUAGCCAUUGAUUUAGGAAAUGGGCCUAACAUUUCUUUUAGGAGCUCAGAUUGUUAAUGAGAUUACAAAUCAGUGGUAGCGCUGUUGCUAUGUGAUUGUUAAUGAAAAUAUAGCUUUCAACUGCUAAUUGAUGUUUGAUCACUUAGAUUAUUUCCAUUUGGCAACAUUGUAUUCACAGGAUUCUUUUCUCUAAUUUUGAUUUAGAACUCUCCUCUGAUGGUGGGCUACAAGCAGUAGCACAACGCUCUCUUAGUGACGUUGAGAUUGAGCUACGAGAGAUGAGGCUGAGUUUGUUGAUGGAGAUUGAAAAGAGGAAGGUAGCAGAAGAAGCUCUACAGAGCAUGCAACAACAGUGGCAAAUUCUGCGAGAGAAGUUAGGGCUGUUGGAUUGGUACUUCCAGCAGAUCUUACUUCUUAUAGCUGAGGAAAUUGGUUACCUCUAUUUUUUCAAAUUCAAGUUCUAAUCCAUAAUAUUUGAUAAUUUACAGUUUUUAUACAUCGAUCUGAUUGUUUAGGUGUUCUAUGUGUGGUUUAAUUUGUUCUUGCAAUGUCUUGAGUUAUUAUUAUUAUUAUUAUUACUAUUAUUACUAAUAUUAUUAUUACUGUUGUUAUUAAUAAUUAAUAACAAUAGUUCAGUAAACAACGAAGUUCAAAUUUUGGUUAGGUUGGUUAGAUUCCCAAUUAGGGUCAUCUGGUGCCAAAUGCACCUUAGUUCCAGGGAGUAGAAAGAUGUCCAGCAGGGUUAUGAUGUGUAUUAUAACAUUUCAAAGCUUUCCCCAAAAGUACAGUUACUGUUCUAACCAGUGAAGGAGGUAUGUAUCCUGGUUUUAAGGCUCUUUUGGAAUGAAAAAGAAGGGUUGGGGUAAAUAGGGCGUCAUUUUAAUUUAAAAUUCAGAAAAUUGUCUCUGUCACAGUACAUCCCAUCUAGGGUUUGAGUUCCCUUCACAUAUAACCUUAUGGUAUAAAUACUCCUUUUAAUAGAAAGUGCCCCUCUCCUUUUGAGCUUGAGCUUCAAAUCUAAAAAUUGAUAGGUCAUUGCUUCAUGCCCUUCUUGUGUUAGGCAAUAACUAAUAUUUUAGUCAGUGGCUUGCCUUUAAUCAUCGAGAUAAAUUGAACUUAGCACAAAUCAAUUUCUAAAGAAACUUGCAAAGAUAACUACCUAUAAAUAUAUGCACACCAAAUCUAACUUGACAAUUAUGCACUUAUGACAAAUAUACCUCGACAAUUAUGAACUUUGACAAAAAAAGAGAGUCAAGUUGCUGUUUAUAUUGUGUGGAUUGCUUAAAGUUCUCUUUGUGCCUUUGUUUUUGAGAUUUAAAUGGAGAUUCAUGCUGGUUGAACUUCACUUUUAAGCUUGCUACAUGUUUUCCCUUGAAAGCAUGGAUGUUUUGAUUUGAAGCUUAUAGCUUAAUUUUAAGUGCCAAACUUAAAUAUGAUGUUGAUGGUGUUCCCACUGUAGGAUGUAAAGUUUUUGGGAGGUUUAGUGAUAAUAAAAUCUAAAAGUUCAGCCUAAAAGCAUAUCUUCUAAAAGCAUGUUUUUUUGAACUCUUGAACUCAUCUUAAUAUUGUUCAAAUGGCUUGUGUGUUGCGCCUAAUGUUUAUGAGACUUGGUAAUUAAUUUGGCCUGGUAUCUGCUGAGUUAUCUGGAAUAUUAGGAACUAGGUUUUCUUUGCUGCUAAUCCUGUGGACUCUCCUUCCAAUUCUGAUUCCGAAUUCAUACGGUCAGUUAAUAGUUCCUUUUCAAAUCAUCAUCGUUCGUUUCCAUUUUUUCUUCAUGUUCAGCUUAAUAUGAAUUUUUUUCCAUAUGUUUUUAAGCUCCCCUUUGCUUGCUUUCCUCACUCCUCUGCUGUUUUCUUACACCCUCCAACGGGUCCAACAAAUUAUGUGUUGCAAGCUCCUUUCUCUAAGCAAGAGAGCUGGAUCUCAUUCAUGAAUCAUGGACUGAGAUUAAAGAAAACAGAAGUGAAUGAACGCGGUCAGGAAGCUUGCUUGCUUGCUGCUGCUGCUGCUGCUGCUGCUGCUGCUGCUGCUGCUGCUGCUGCUGCUGUUGUUGUUGCUGCAAGGAAAGGUGUAGCCUCUUUUUAGAGUGGGUUAUUGCUAAUCUCAUGAUUGGGUUGUUUUAAUCACGUCAUCAUUUCUAUUAUUUGUAUAGUUGAUUAUCUUUGUAGGAAUCCCUAGAUUACAUACGUUGGUAUCGAGUUUCUAAUUGCUUUAUUUUUCGAUUUCUAUGUAAAAGUGAGGUGUCGAGCUAAGCUUUAACUGUUUUAAUUUGCGAUCUCGAGUAUUUUACUCAGUUUCCUCCAUAACCUUCUAAAAGUGACGCCAAUCGGGUUUCUAAUUGCUUUAUUUUACUGUUGAACGUUUACUCACCGCCAUUGACGUCCCUUCCAAAUUUCUACUUUACGAAUUCCUAAUUUCUGCUAAAUCCUUUCAUCUUUCUUUGUUGAUGCAAAUCUAUACUGUGCUAUUACUAAUCUGCAAAGGCUGACAGAUUCUUGCUAAAUCCUUUCUUUUUCUUCUUACUUUGUUGAUGCAAAUCUAUACUGUGUGAUUAACUAAUCUACAAAGGCCGAUUAACAAAGAAAAAAUGUUCCUUCUUCUUCUUGAACUUAAGAUUGGGUGCCUUGGAAUUAGCUAGCGUCCCUAUCUGCGGAUGGAUCUUGAAGGAGGUGCAAUUCAGCUACUUCUUGAGCAAACUCUCAAAAUUGUUCAAUCAAUUAUCCAUGCUUCGGAGGUUGAUGCAGCUAUUUCCCAGUGGCCAAAUUGGUGGCCAGGCGGCCUUAGUGCGGGAAUUUGCCAGCAUC